rnacentral:rRNA from 1 species
UACGUAGGGUGCAAGCGUUGUCCGGAAUUAUUGGGCGUAAAGAGCUCGUAGGCGGUUUGUCGCGUCUGCUGUGAAAACUCGGGGCUUAACCCCGGGCCUGCAGUGGGUACGGGCAGACUAGAGUGCGGUAGGGGAGACUGGAAUUCCUGGUGUAGCGGUGAAAUGCGCAGAUAUCAGGAGGAACACCGGUGGCGAAGGCGGGUCUCUGGGCCGUAACUGACGCUGAGGAGCGAAAGCCAGGGGAGCAAACAGGG